GGGAAUUUUUCCGCAAUGGGCGAAAGCCUGACGGAGCAAGACCGCGUGGGGGAGGAAGGCCUUUGGGUUGUAAACCCCUUUUGUUAGGGAAGAAAAAAAUGACGGUACCUAACGAAUCAGCCUCGGCUAACUCCGUGCCAGCAGCCGCGGUAAUACGGAGGAGGCAAGCGUUAUCCGGAAUUAUUGGGCGUAAAGCGUCCGUAGGUGGCCGGGCAAGUCUGCUGUCAAAGACCACAGCUCAACUGUGGAAAGGCAGUGGAAACUGCAAGGCUAGAGUGCGGUAGGGGUAGAGGGAAUUCCCAGUGUAGCGGUGAAAUGCGUAGAGAUUGGGAAGAACACCGGUGGCGAAAGCGCUCUACUGGGCCGCAACUGACACUGAUGGACGAAAGCUAGGGGAGCGAAUGGGAUUAGAUACCCCCAGUA
rnacentral:rRNA from 1 species